rnacentral:rRNA from 1 species
GAUGAACGCUGGCGGCGUGCCUAAUACAUGCAAGUCGAGCGAACGGACGAGAGGCUUGCUUCUCUGAUGUUAGCGGCGGACGGGUGAGUAACACGUGGAUAACCUACCUAUAAGACUGGGAUAACUUCGGGAAACCGUAGCUAAUACCGGAUAAUAUUUUGAACCGCAUGGUUCAAAAGUGAAAGACGGUCUUGCUGUCACUUAUAGAUGGAUCCGCGCUGCAUUAGCUAGUUGGUAAGGUAACGGCUUACCAAGGCAACGAUGCAUAGCCGACCUGAGAGGGUGAUCGGCCACACUGGAACUGAGACACGGUCCAGACUCCUACGGGAGGCAGCAGUAGGGAAUCUUCCGCAAUGGGCGAAAGCCUGACGGAGCAACGCCGCGUGAGUGAUGAAGGUCUUCGGAUCGUAAAACUCUGUUAUUAGGGAAGAACAUAUGUGUAAGUAACUGUGCACAUCUUGACGGUACCUAAUCAGAAAGCCACGGCUAACUACGUGCCAGCAGCCGCGGUAAUACGUAGGUGGCAAGCGUUAUCCGGAAUUAUUGGGCGUAAAGCGCGCGUAGGCGGUUUUUUAAGUCUGAUGUGAAAGCCCACGGCUCAACCGUGGAGGGUCAUUGGAAACUGGAAAACUUGAGUGCAGAAGAGGAAAGUGGAAUUCCAUGUGUAGCGGUGAAAUGCGCAGAGAUAUGGAGGAACACCAGUGGCGAAGGCGACUUUCUGGUCUGUAACUGACGCUGAUGUGCGAAAGCGUGGGGAUCAAACAGGAUUAGAUACCCUGGUAGUCCACGCCGUAAACGAUGAGUGCUAAGUGUUAGGGGGUUUCCGCCCCUUAGUGCUGCAGCUAACGCAUUAAGCACUCCGCCUGGGGAGUACGACCGCAAGGUUGAAACUCAAAGGAAUUGACGGGGACCCGCACAAGCGGUGGAGCAUGUGGUUUAAUUCGAAGCAACGCGAAGAACCUUACCAAAUCUUGACAUCCUUUGACAACUCUAGAGAUAGAGCCUUCCCCUUCGGGGGACAAAGUGACAGGUGGUGCAUGGUUGUCGUCAGCUCGUGUCGUGAGAUGUUGGGUUAAGUCCCGCAACGAGCGCAACCCUUAAGCUUAGUUGCCAUCAUUAAGUUGGGCACUCUAAGUUGACUGCCGGUGACAAACCGGAGGAAGGUGGGGAUGACGUCAAAUCAUCAUGCCCCUUAUGAUUUGGGCUACACACGUGCUACAAUGGACAAUACAAAGGGCAGCGAAACCGCGAGGUCAAGCAAAUCCCAUAAAGUUGUUCUCAGUUCGGAUUGUAGUCUGCAACUCGACUACAUGAAGCUGGAAUCGCUAGUAAUCGUAGAUCGGCAUGCUACGGUGAAUACGUUCCCGGGUCU